rnacentral:rRNA from 1 species
UAAGACGAGGGAUCCUAGCGUUGUUUGGAAUCAUUGGGCGUAAAGCGGGUGUAGGUGGCUUUGUAAGUCAGAUGUGAAAGCCCAGGGCUCAACCCUGGAAGUGCAUUUGAUACUGCGAAGCUUGAGUGCUAGAGAGGUUACUAGAAUUCUUGGUGUAGUGGUGAAAUACGUAGAUAUCAAGAGGAAUACCGGUGGCGAAGGCGGGUAACUGGCUAGACACUGACACUCAGACCCGAAAGCGUGGGGAUCAAACAGGAUUAGAUACCCUGGUAGUCCACGCCGUAAACGAUGGAUACUUGUUGUUGGAGGUAUUGACCCCUUCAGUGACGAAGCUAACGCGUUAAGUAUCCCGCCUGGGGAGUACGGUCGCAAGAUUAAAACUCAAAGAAAUUGACGGGGGCCCGCACAAGCGGUGGAGCAUGUGGUUAUUCGAGGCACAAU